GACGAACGCUGGCGGCGUGCCUAAUACAUGCAAGUCGAACGCAGUGGGGACGGGUGAGUAACCCGUGGGUAACCUCCCAUCAGAGGGGAUAACACUUGGAAACAGGUGCUAAACCGAUACUGAUGGAUGGACCCGCGGUGCAUUAGCUAGUUGGUGAGGUAACGGCUCACCAAGGCCACGAUGCAUAGCCGACCGGAGAGAGUGAUCGGCAACACGGGGACGUAGACCAGGCCCAGACUCCUACGUGAGGAAGCAGUAGGGAAUGUGCGGCAAUGGACGAAAGUAUGAACGAGCAACGCCGCGUGAGUGAAGAAGGUUUUCGGAUCGUAAAACUCUGUUGUUAGAGAAGCGGUAUCUAACCAGAAAGCCACGGCUAACUACGUGCCAGCAGCCGCGGUAAUUC
rnacentral:rRNA from 1 species